rnacentral:rRNA from 1 species
GUGCUUACACAUGCAAGUCGAACGAUGAACCUCACUUGUGGGGGGAUUAGUGGCGAACGGGUGAGUAACACGUGAGUAACCUGCCCUUGACUCUGGGAUAAGCCUGGGAAACCGGGUCUAAUACUGGAUACGACCUUCCCGCGCAUGCGGUGUUGGUGGAAAGCUUUUGCGGUUUUGGAUGGACUCGCGGCCUAUCAGCUUGUUGGUGGGGUAAUGGCCUACCAAGGCGACGACGGGUAGCCGGCCUGAGAGGGUGACCGGCCACACUGGGACUGAGACACGGCCCAGACUCCUACGGGAGGCAGCAGUGGGGAAUAUUGCACAAUGGGCGCAAGCCUGAUGCAGCGACGCCGCGUGAGGGAUGAAGGCCUUCGGGUUGUAAACCUCUUUCAGUAGGGAAGAAGCUGGCCUUUGGGUUGGUGACGGUACCUGCAGAAGAAGCGCCGGCUAACUACGUGCCAGC